UCUUCUUCUUCCAAGCUUUCGAGGACCGUGAGGCUCAGAUGCACUUCGCAGAGGCCAUGGACCGACGAGAGCGAGCUCGAACUCGAAGUUGAGCGGCUGUUCUCGAAUCUCAACCGGACCACUCUCAAGCAGGAACCUGGAAGUUUGUCCAGUGCGGUUUUUCUGGUGGUAGGCACUACGGAGCUGGGAUUCCCGCCAUACCUGCCGUGACAUGAGA